CCUACGGGAGGCAGCAGUGAGGAAUAUUGGUCAAUGGACGCAAGUCUGAACCAGCCAUGCCGCGUGCAGGAAGACGGCUCUAUGAGUUGUAAACUUCUUUUAUAAAGGAAUAAAGUGAGGCACGUGUGCCUUUUUGUAUGUACUUUAUGAAUAAGGAUCGGCUAACUCCGUGCCAGCAGCCGCGGUAAUACGGAGGAUCCGAGCGUUAUCCGGAUUUAUUGGGUUUAAAGGGAGCGUAGAUGGGUUGUUAAGUCAGUUGUGAAAGUUUGCGGCUCAACCGUAAAAUUGCAAUUGAUACUGGCAGCCUUGAGUACAGUUGAGGUAGGCGGAAUUCGUGGUGUAGCGGUGAAAUGCUUAGAUAUCACGAAGAACUCCGAUUGCGAAGGCAGCUUACUAAACUGCCACUGACAUUGAUGCUCGAAAGUGUGGGUAUCAAACAGGAUUAGAUACCCUUGUAGUC
rnacentral:rRNA from 1 species